UACGUAGGUGGCAAGCGUUGUCCGGAAUUAUUGGGCGUAAAGCGCGCGCAGGUGGUUUCUUAAGUCUGAUGUGAAAGCCCACGGCUCAACCGUGGAGGGUCAUUGGAAACUGGGGAACUUGAGUGCAGAAGGAGGAAAGUGGAAUUCCACGGUGUAGCGGUGAAAUGCGUAGAGAUGAUGGAGGAACACCAGUGGCGAAGGCGGCUCACUGGCCCGGUACUGACGCUGAGGUGCGAAAGCGUGGGGAGCAAACAGGAUUGAGAAACCCGUG
rnacentral:rRNA from 1 species